GUAACCCUACGGACGCAGCAGUGAGGAAUAUUGGUCAAUGGGAGAGAUCCUGAACCAGCCAAGCCGCGUGAGGGAAGACGGCCCUAUGGGUUGUAAACCUCUUUUGUCGGAGAACAAAACCCGGGACGUGUCCCGGACUGCGUGUAUCCGAAGAAAAAGCAUCGGCUAACUCCGUGCCAGCAGCCGCGGUAAUACGGAGGAUGCGAGCGUUAUCCGGAUUUAUUGGGUUUAAAGGGUGCGUAGGCGGUCUGUUAAGUCAGCGGUAAAAUUGCGGGGCUCAACCCCGUCGAGCCGUUGAA
rnacentral:rRNA from 1 species